AUGGAGUUUGUAGUGGGUGCUUCGGAAGCCACCAUGAGAUCUCUCCUAGGCAAGUUGGGUGGUCUCCUUGCCCAAGAGUACACUCUGAUCCGCGGCGUCCGCAGCGACAUCCAGUACAUCAGCGAUGAGCUCGCCAGCAUGCAGGCCUUUCUUGGCGACCUCGGCUCUGCCUUGGAUGACCACGAUCGCCGGCUCAAGAACUGGAUGAAGCAGAUUCGUGACAUGGCAUACGACAUGGAAGACUGCAUCGAUGACUUUGCUCAUCGCCUCCCUCAGGACUCUCUCAGCGAUGCAAGAUGCUCCUUCAUCGUGACGAUAGUCUACGAGAUGUGGACGUUCUGGCCUCGUCGUGACAUUGCCUCCAAGAUUGCCGAGCUCAAGGUCCGGGCACAGUACAUUGCUGAGAGGCGCAGCAGAUAUGGAGUGAACAACCCAAACCCAAGAACAAGCUCCGGAGCCGGAGCAACCCAUGCUGUUACAUAUGGCAUUGCUGAGCAUUUGGUGGCGAGCCGUCAGCUCAUCCGCACAGAGAACCCCGUGGGAGUGAAGGUGGACAUGAAGAAGCUCGGAGGUUGGCUAGCCAAACAUGAUAAAGGCUCUCAUCGAGCUGUUGUGUCAUUGAUUGGAUUUGGUGGUGCGGGAAAGACCACCAUUGCCAUGGCACUGUACCGAGAUUUCAGGAAUGAAUUUGACUGCCGGGCAUCAGUCACAGUGUCUCAGAACUUUGAUGAAGAUGAAGUCCUAAGGGAUGUUCUUGGGCAAAUCAAGCCAGCAGACAGUCAAAUCAAGACAAAGGAGGAGGUGCAGGAGGGCAGCAACGCAGGGAAGGUGGAGAAGAAGAGCCUAGUGACAGGUAUUAAAAGCUCAGUUAAGCGAGUUGUGCCACUGCUCUCUGGUCACAGGCCGCAAAGCAAUGAUGGCAGCAUGCAGAAUAAGAUAGAAACAAUGAAUCGUGACCAGCUUAUUGAAGAACUCAAAAAGCGCCUGCUUGGAAGGAGGUAUCUCCUCUUGAUUGAUGAUAUAUGGUCUGUACAAACAUGGGAGACCAUUAGAAAUUGGUUGCCACAUGAUAAUAAUAAGGAUAGUAGAGUAAUAGUAACUACAAGAUUUCAAGUUGUUGGUGCGGCUUGCUCAGAAAGAGAUGGAACUGAUUAUCUGCAUACAGUUAAUGCCCUAAGUGAUCCCGACUCCAAAAGUCUAUUUCAUCAGGGUGUUUCUGAAUCCCCAAGCAGCCAAGAAAGCAAAAGAAUGGAUACAAGAUCUCAAGCUGUUGGUACUGAGUCCUCUGAAGGAGAUGGAACAGAUCGUCUGCAUUCAGCCGAUGUCCCAAGUGAUGCCAAUGCCAAAGGUCCGUUCGAUGACCGUGUUUCUGAUCCACAGAGAAGCAAAGAAAGGGAGAUAGAAGAGGUCCAUGAGGAGAUAUGGAAAUAUUGUGGGGGGCUGCCUUUGGCCAUAGUCACCAUGGCUGGCCUUGUGGCUUGCAACCCAACAAAAAACAAUGAUCAUGGGAGUAAAGUUUGCAAGUCAUUAUUUCCGGAGCAGGUGGCUCCCCUUACAUUGGAGGGGGUCACAAGGAUACUUGAUUAUUGCUAUAAUGAUUUGCCAGCAGAUCUCAAGACCUGCUCAUUGUAUCUGAGCAUAUUCCCCAAGGGCUCGAAAGUUAGUAAGAAGCGUCUGACCCGGCGAUGGAUAUCAGAAUGUUUCGUCGCUGAGAAGCAAGGGCUGAGUGCAGAGGAAGUGGCAGAAACAUACUUCAAUCAGCUUGUACGCAGGAAGAUAUACGCCCUGUGGAUCACAGCAGCAACGGGAAGCAACAAAGUCCGUCGACUCUCCAUGCAAAGCAGUGGUUCCAAGCAUGGGAAUUCAACAAAAGGCAUGAACUUGUCUCAAGUGCGGUCACUGACAGCGUUUGGAAGCCAGAACAGACGGCUCCCUUUCCAUUCGUUCAACAAUGGAAUAAUACAAGUGCUAGAUCUUGAGGGCUGGAAGGGUUUGACAGAUAAGCAUAUGAAUGACAUAUGUAAAAUGCUUGUGUUGAAGUAUUUGAGCCUCCGACGAACAGAGGUUUCUGAGAUUCCAUCAAAGAUCGAGAAGCUCCAGUAUCUAGAAACUCUUGACAUAAGGGAGACAAAUGUCGGGGUGCUGCCAAAAGCUUUUGGACAGCUCAAACAGCUCCGUAGCAUGCUUGGAGGGAACAAAAACACAAAGAAGGCUUUGAAGUUGCCACAUGAGAAGAACAAGGAGCCGAUGAAAGCACUUCGUAUCUUGUCAGGGAUUGAGAUCGAUGAGGACUCAUCAGCUGUAGCAAGCCUUCAUCAGCUGACAGGGCUAAGGAAACUUGCCAUUUACAAGCUCAAUAUAAGGGAGGGCGGUCAGACCUUCAAACAAUUACGCUCCUCCAUUGAGUACCUCAGUAGCUGCGGUCUGCAGACAUUGGCAAUCAAUGAUGAGAGCUCUAAUUUUAUCAACUCACUAGACACCAUGACCACUCCUCCAAGAUACAUCAUCGGCCUAGAGUUGUCUGGCAAGAUGGAAAGGCCCCCAAAGUGGAUCAAAGAACUCAAUAACCUCUAUAAGCUGACCCUUUCUGUGACAGUUCUUCGGACUGAUACUUUCAAGCUCAUCCAGGACCUGCCCAAAUUGUUUACGCUCACCUUUACACUCAAUGCAACCAAGGACGAUAGGGACAUAGUGGACAUUCUUGAGGAAAAUAAACAACUUACCGAUAGGGAGAUCAUUAUUCCACCUGGAGGAUUCAAGAGUCUAAAGCUUCUUCGCUUCUUUGCAACUAUGGUGCCAAGGCUGAGCUUUGCAGUUACAGGAAAAGAGGUAAUGCCAGCACUGGAGAGGAUUGACAUGCGGUUUGAAGCCUUUGAAGGGAUUUACGGCAUUGAGACUCUAAAGAGCCUCCAAGAGGUGCAUCUCAGUGUUGGUAAUCAAGCAGAUGAAAUAACCAAGUUCUUGGUACAAGAUUUGAAGGACACCCCCAAGUACUUGGAUGAAAAGUACGCCAGCAAGUGGCCAAAGAUAAUCACCGAGUGA
rnacentral:rRNA from 1 species